UCUACGGGUGGCAGCAGUGAGGAAUAUUGGUCAAUGGCCGGAAGGCUGAACCAGCCAUGCCGCGUGAAGGUCAGUGCCCUAUGGGCGUUAAACUUCUUUUGUGCGGGAGCAAUAAUGGUCACGUGUGGCCAGCCGAGAGUACCGUACGAAUAAGCAUCGGCUAACUCCGUGCCAGCAGCCGCGGUAAUACGGGGGAUGCAAGCGUUAUCCGGAUUUGUUGGGUUGAAAGGGUGCGUAGGCUGGGAGGUAAGUCAGAGGUUAAAUGCCCCCGCUCAACGGGGGGAAGGUCGGUUGAUACUGCCUGGCUGGUAGUCGGAUGCCGUGGGAGGGAUGUGUGGUGUAGCGGUUGAAUGCA
rnacentral:rRNA from 1 species